GACGAACGCUGGCGGCGUGCUUAACACAUGCAAGUUGAACGGUAAUCCAUGGAAGCUUGCUGAAGUGGAUUAUAGUAGCGGACGGGUGAGUAAUGCAUGAGAAGCUGCCAUUGGGAGGGGGACAACAGUUGGAAACGGCUGCUAAUACCCCGUAUGCCGGAAGGUGAAAGGGAUUCGUCCCGCCCGAUGAGGUGCUCAUGUCCUAUCAGCUAGUUGGUGAGGUAACGGCUCACCAAGGCGACGACGGGUAGCCGGCCUGAGAGGGUGAACGGCCACACUGGAACUGAGAUACGGUCCAGACUCCUACGGGAGGCAGCAGUGGGGAAUAUUGGGCAAUGGGGGAAACCCUGACCCAGCGACGCCGCGUGAGGGAAGAAGGCCUUCGGGUUGUAAACCUCUUUUGUAUGGGAAGAAGAAUGUGACGGUAC
rnacentral:rRNA from 1 species